rnacentral:rRNA from 1 species
CGGACGGGUGAGUAAUGUCUGGGAAACUGCCCGAUGGAGGGGGAUAACUACUGGAAACGGUAGCUAAUACCGCAUAACGUCGCAAGACCAAAGAGGGGACCUUCGGGCCUCUUGCCAUCGGAUGUGCCCAGAUGGGAUUAGCUAGUAGGUGGGGUAACGGCUCACCUAGGCGACGAUCCCUAGCUGGCCUGAGAGGAUGACCAGCCACACUGGAACUGAGACACGGUCCAG